ACCUAGCUGACGAGUCUCAAAUAGGACGAAACACGUGUCCUGGAU
rnacentral:hammerhead_ribozyme from 1 species